rnacentral:rRNA from 1 species
GGUGAACGCUGGCGGCGUGCUUAAGACAUGCAAGUCGAACGCAGUCUUCGGACUGAGUGGCGCACGGGUGAGUAACACGUAACUGACCUACCCCCAAGUCGCGGAUAACUGGCCGAAAGGUCAGCUAAUACGUGAUGUGAUGUCCCCUUUCUGGGGGGCCAUUAAAGGUUUACUGCUUGGGGAUGGGGUUGCGUUCCAUCAGCUAGUUGGCGGGGUAAGGGCCCACCAAGGCAACGACGGAUAGCCGGCCUGAGAGGGUGGCCGGCCACAGGGGCACUGAGACACGGGUACCGCUCCUACGGGAGGCAGCAGUUAGGAAUCUUGCACAAUGGGCGAAAGCCUGAUGGAGCGACGCCGCGUGAGGGAUGAAGGUUCUAGGAUCGUAAACCUCUGAAUCAGGGACGAAAGCCGCGUAAGCGGGAUGACGGUACCUGAGUAAUAGCACCGGCUAACUCCGUGCCAGCCGCCGCGGUAA